AAAAGAUUCUCGGAUUCCAGAUAAAAACUGCAGAAGAAAAUAAAAAGAAAAAGAGAAUUGUUACCUCUGGGGAGAGACAAAAAAAAAAGGCUUAGGAGGACGGAGAAAUAAAAGGUACCGCAGCUUGUCUGGGUUUUGGUGAUUUAUUCCCCAUAUCUGACUCAAAAGAUGAAAAGUCUAAAUAGUCAGGUCACUUAAGUCAUUGUUAUGGGAAAUGAGGUGAGGAAACACGGAGUCGGGAAUAAUCGCCCAUAAUUGCCUAGAGGUCUGCUCAAUCUGUGAAGGAUCGGCCUGUUUCCUAAAAGCAGUGUGUGUGAUUUCCCUCCAGAGGAUGUAGGAAAUUGUACCCUUUGAAACAGAUGAGAAGUUUUGGAUAACAUCAGCUUCGCCUGGAAAGCCCCCAGGUAAUGAGUCGGCAGCUCGCAGCCUGCACGGCAGUGUCGGAUACGUUUAGUAGCAGAUGAGGGGAAGUUUGUUGUGACAGCUGGGCAGAAAAACAAGCCUGAAGGUUAGGUGGAUCUGCAACAGCAGACGGUGGUUUGGGUUUGGAAAAAGCAAAGACGUCUUCAGAUGAGGAGUACACAGAGAGAUGAACAAGAGAAAAACGCAGUGCGGCGGAAGUAGAGGAGCCAGUGGUGCAGACUUCUCGGCAGCAUGUCUGUGUCAGGAAGACCCGCUCAUCGAGACCAGCAUCCAGGCCUCUGUUCCCUCCUCCCAGUCACGAAGGCCAUCUCUCAGGCUCUGCACAGAGGCCAACCGCUUCCCCUCACGAGGUGUCACCGGCAGGACAGGAGAGACCUCCUGCCAUCCACGAGAUGGUCCAGACCAGCAUCAGAAGGAAAAGCCUCUGGUGAAUUGGAAGCAGGAAGGUAAAAGACAAGUGACAGAGAUGACGGCUGAAAAUCCUCCAGAACUGACCACUCUGUGA
rnacentral:lncRNA from 1 species